rnacentral:rRNA from 1 species
AACGAACGCUGGCGGCAGGCCUAACACAUGCAAGUCGAGCGGACCCUUCGGGGUUAGCGGCGGACGGGUGAGUAACGCGUGGGAAUAUGCCCUUCUCUACGGAAUAGUCCUGGGAAACUGGGGGUAAUACCGUAUACGCCCUUUGGGGGAAAGAUUUAUCGGGGAAGGAUUAGCCCGCGUUGGAUUAGGUAGUUGGUGGGGUAAUGGCCUACCAAGCCGACGAUCCAUAGCUGGUUUGAGAGGAUGAUCAGCCACACUGGGACUGAGACACGGCCCAGACUCCUACGGGAGGCAGCAGUGGGGAAUCUUAGACAAUGGUGGCAACCCUGAUCUAGCCAUGCCGCGUGAGUGAUGAAGGCCUUAGGGUUGUAAAGCUCUUUCAGCUGGGAAGAUAAUGACGGUACCAGCAGAAGAAGCCCCGGCUAACUCCGUG